UCCUCCGCCUUCCGCAUCCAACGACUUC
rnacentral:piRNA from 1 species